UAGGGAAUAUUAGUAAUGGGCGAAAGCCUGAACUAGCAACACCGCGUGUGCGAAGAAGGCCUUCGGGCUGUAAAGCACUUUUUGGAAGGAUUAGGAAGGAAUGUACUUCCAGAAUAAGUCUCGGCUAACUACGUGCCAGCAGCCGCGGUAACACGUAGGAGGCAAACGUUAUCCGGAUUUACUGGGCGUAAAGCGCGUGUAGGUGGUUCUGUAAGUAGGGCGUGAAAGCUCCUGGCUCAACUGGGAGAGGCCGUUCUAAACUGCAGAGCUAGAGGAUGGUAGAGGGAGGUGGAAUUCCGGGUGUAGCGGUGGAAUGCGCAGAUAUCCGGAGGAACACCAGUGGCGAAAGCGGCCUCCUGGACCAUUCCUGACACUCAGACGCGAAAGCUAGGGUAGCAAACG
rnacentral:rRNA from 1 species